rnacentral:piRNA from 1 species
UACCAAGAUGAGGAAUGGAGUAGUGUGC